UCCCUUGUGGUCCAGUGGUUACGACUCUGCGCUUCCACUGCAGGGAGCAAGGGUUCAAUCCCUAGUCAAGGAA
rfam:Ovis aries breed Texel chromosome 14, whole genome shotgun sequence.